AAUGAACGCUGGCGGUAUGCCUAACACAUGCAAGUCGAACGGCAGCACAGUAAGAACUUGCUCUUGCGUGUGUCGCGUGGCGGAAGCUUGACUAAGACAUCGAAAUCUACUUUUUCGUGGGGGAUAACGUCGGAAAACGUACUCGGAUACCGCAUACGACGUACUUGUGUAAGCACGGGAUCUUUAGACCUUUCGCCAUUGGAUGAGCCGAUGUGGGAUUAGCUAGUUGGCAGGGUAAAGGCCUACCAAGGCCACAUUCCGUAGCUGGUCUGAGAGAAUGAUCCGCCACACUGGGAGUGAGACGCGGCCCAGACUCCUACGGAAGGCGGCAGAGGGGAAUAUUGGACUAUGGGCUAAAUCCUGAACCAGCUAUGCCGCGUGAGUGAUGAAGUCGUUAGAGAAGUAAAGCUCGUUUACCCGGGAUGAUAAUGACGGUACCGGGAGAAUAAGCACCGGCUAACUCCGUG
rnacentral:rRNA from 1 species